UGCCAUUACACUUUGCUAAACAUUAUUAAUUAACCUUUGUAUGAAUGGGCAGAAUAAUACGACAUACUUCUUUGAAAAGGAUGCAUGUGGGAUUCAAAAAUGGUAAAAAAAUUCAAUUCAUAUAGAAAUCCUUAAAAAUUAUAAGCAUUUAGAUUAGCACUAAUUUCUUUUCCAAUAUGCUUAUCAACAGGACGGAGUAGAGUGCUUGUGAUUCCAGUCCUAUCAAGACCAGUGAAGCAUAGACCUAGAGACAACUGGAAAGACCUGCUGCUCGAGGAGUUAGAAAAACAAGCUGGUUUUCUACUGUCCUUGUGAACUGCUUUUGUAUACACUGGUUCCUUCUGAAAAGCUGUGAAGAGUCCAGGUUCACAGUGGGUUUGUUCCCGUGUUGGGUGAACUGGGGACA
rnacentral:lncRNA from 1 species